GUAUUGUUAUCCACCUGGAUUAUGAGCCCAAAAAGUUUGGAGAUACCUUGCAGCAGUGCUGAAUAAAGCACCCACUCUCAGAGGACACAUACUAUACAAGGUGACUCGAGGAAUAGGUUGGCCACUGAAAACAAAUAUGGAUAUUCUCCAUAGGAGUGACAGAGAAAGUGUCCUAUGCCACCAGCAUCAUACUCAGGAGCUCUACAUGGGCUGGUCAGGAGCUGCUGGUGCAGGAAGGGAGAUGCUUUUUCUCUGACAUGGAGGUGCAAAAGGACUUGCCCCUAGGCACUGACUGAGAAGAACUCUACUGACCUCAGGAUUUAACGAAAGCCUACAAACUAGAGACCAGAAUUUGCUAUCUGUUAAGCAGGAAAGGAUGGUCAGCAUCCAGUUCCGCUCCAUAGCUUAGAAUCUGAUUGGCAAAUCUGUCUAGCUCCUGGAUACUUCUUGGGAACCAUGGUACUGCAAAACAGAAAAGAAAUAGAGACUGGUGAACCUGAUCCCCAGGAAAAGCUUCCCUCUGAGGAUGGAGCCUCUGAGCAGUCUGCCGGCAGCUGCUACAUGAGCUCCCCACAGUGCCUCGCUGACAUGGCUCAUCCUGGACCCCAACAGACCACCUAGGGGAUAAGAGGAUAACUCUGCCUCCUGGACUAUUCAGCCUUGCUCUUUCUGCUGCACUUCACAGCACAGAGGGCACUUGUGGUUCUGCGUUUCUGUGAAGCACCUGCAUCGAGGGGCUGGAGCAGCACAGGGAGCUCCUUGGGUGGCCACAGCUCAGCCCCACACAGACGGCUUGCUCCCCUGACCAGCUGUCCCACCUCCAGCCUGGAUCCAGCCAGCCUGGCUCUAUCCAACGCUUCUGCUGCAAGCCCUAAGUCUCAUUUCCAGCAGGCCGGGCAACACAGGCGGCUCUCCUGGCUCCGUAGUCCUUUACUCUGUGCCUCCCCUUCUUCCUCCCAGCAAAAGUGGGCUUUGGUACCCCCUUUCAAGCUGCACAGCCUUCUGUUUUGCCCUAACAGACGGACCAGCACAAGUCACUAGAUGGCAGCAGCAGUCCGAGGAAAAUCUUUCUCAAGUGACUGAUGGGUUUAUUGCUAGCUCUCUAGUUUCCCCAGAAAUGCUCUCUCACCUUGCUGUUAGUAACCUUCCUGCACCUCCAGCCCCUCGAGUUAAAACAGUGGUGAGGGUGAUUAGAAAAAGGGGUGUCUGAGUCCUAGAGAGGAGUCAGUAGAGACAUACCUCAUGAAUGAUGAACCCACCCAACCCUCCUGCCCCUAUUUUCUGUAUACACAGCAGGGCACGGAGUUCAUCUCCCAGCUCUGGCAGUGGCCUUUACAUGAAGGUAGGGGGAUCGCUUCACUGCUUUGUGCUUCAGACUCACCACUGUCAGGGAAGCUGACAACCACUAUCAUCAGUGAAGCAUCCUGAUAAAUGUUUUGGGCACCAGAAAAAAAGCUGUCUGAGAGCCCACAGCAAAGCACUUGUCAGUGUUCAAGCGAGGAACCACUAUUCUCAGGGAAGCAUCAUGAUCUGAAGGGUCCAGACAAACCAGUGGAGGCUGAGGCCUGCAGUGGAUUUCAGCAGUGAUAACUGUAGGGAUUUGCUGCCCUGGGUCAAAAAGAUCUAGAUGGGCAGAGAUUGAAUCAUUCCAGCUUCAAGAAGCCAUAGAAUAGAUGUAUAAGAAUAAAUUGUUUUCAUUAAACAUAUUUUAUUCUUAAGCUUCCCAAAGCACUUGGUGCAGAGGUUGUGAUAAACUGGGGGACAGACUGAUGCCCAGGCUGAUGCAGUGUCAGUCUCAGGCAUGGAGAUGGGUGGCUUGCUUUUCCUCUACAUAGGUGCAGCAUCUUAUCUUUUAGGUGCAGAGCCUGUAUAGGUACUGGACCUAUUUUCAGCAGAUCUCUGCCCACCUCCCAGCCCCCCCAGACACUUGUAAUAGCUCAGGGAGUGCUGCUCUGAGCUCUGAGAGCUGCUCUGGGUGAAACGGUGCAAGCUGUAAAAGGAUCGUGAAGAUGCUUUGUGCUAUUUGCACCAGCAUAGCUGGACUUAAGUCCUGAACAUUCUCAGCUCUUGUGGCAACAAGAAUCAAAGAUGCUGAGCACAGCCCUGGCCCAGCCACCAAGUCCAUACAACCCUGGCAACAGGCACCAGGGUGCAAAAGAGCUACUGCGUCCUCUGUGUAGCUGUGGUGUGCCAGGAGGCUGACCCCAGCCCCCACAGCAACUAUUGAAAAGAUCAAAUCAAAUUAUCCCCUGGCUGAAUCUCUCCCAUAUUUUGUUUGCGACAUCCUCCUCCAGCCCCGUUCGCCAGACUUGCUGUCUGUCUGCACGGCCAUUAAUGAAUUGCCAGAGCAAGCUGUUGCAACACUGGGCCUCUGUGAAGGUCCGAGGAGCAAAAGUGGGCUGAUCAGUAAUAAAUAUUGAUUUGUCUGUAACUGAAAUGGUAGCAUUUAUGGGAUUGUGCUGGACACCCAAGUGGUGACCAAAUUACCAUGGGGUCAAAUGCUUAGCAGAAUGCUAAUAAGCCAUUUAUAUGAGGGGCAGCAAAACAGGGGCAGUGAGGACUUCUGUAGAGCUCCUCCAUUUGGACCAUUGUGAGGAGGGUCAAAGACAGGUCUAUGCAAUUUAUAGCAGUUCAAGGCCCAGGUUUAGCCCUUUUUUAAACAGUCCCAAAUGCUUUGGCCAGCCUCAGGGUUUAGCAAACAAGGACCCUACAGAACGUCAGCCUCCAGUCUGUCUCAGAAAUGCAAUAAAUUGUCUGCAUUUGCCUAAUGCUGCAACAGAAUAAUAUUUAAUUAUUUUUAUUCAUGGGCUCCAAGAGGUCUGCAGAUAUCUAGCUUGUUUCCAAAAAGAGCCAUGAAGAGAUGCACUGUGUUUUCAGAACAAAUCUUUCCAUCUCUACAAAAGGUUUUUGGCCCAGUGACUGCUAGACCACCUCAACUUGAGUUCUGAAAUUACCUUUGGAUUUAUGGCAUUUUGCUGGCCUGCUCAUAGCUAAAAUUACACUGUCAAUCCAAGCCUCCUAUUUGUAACUCUUUGGGCGUGUAAAAGGGAAACCAAAUCUACAUUUAGCUUUUGAGAGAGUAAAGACAAAAAAAAAAAAAGUGUUCAGAUUAUAAAAGAAGGGGGGGAGGGGGAAGUUUUCAUUAACACUUUGGCCAAAAAAGAACACACAUUUGUUUAAUGCUAAGCUGUUCAGAAGGGGAAAGGCCAGUAAUUUCCUUUGACUUUCCACAAAGCACUGCUCCAAGAAUGGCACUGUGUGCUUCCUAUGGGAAACUGAUUAAAAGAAGGGUUUUUGUUCAAACCAUGAGUGUGAGCUAAGUGAAUCCCUAACAAGGAAGGACUGAGAGCAUCUUUAGGCAGUGGUGAGAGAAUUGGUCACAUGGGACCCCAGACUGGCUCCAGGAGAAAACGUUCCCAGCUUUACCUGCUAACCUAGCAGAGCGUGAAGAUAUCCCCAUGAACCAACUGCCCGAGAUUUUUCUCCCUGGAGGUGUAUUGCUCUCAUUCUGUGCUUUGGGAAUAAUAUUUCACAAAAGCAUGUCUGUAGAUUACAACCAGAUUUGCCAGGAGGAUACAUAUGAAAGUCAGGCUGACCUAAAAGGCACCAUGAGGCCUACUAAUUGUUAAUGCCAUCACAGAUAAAGGACAACAUCUUACCACUCU